rnacentral:rRNA from 1 species
CAGCCGCCGCGGUAAUACGUAGGGUGCAAGCGUUAAUCGGAAUUACUGGGCGUAAAGGGCGCGUAGGCGGCCAUUCAAGUUAGAUGUGAAAGCCCUGGGCUCAACCUAGGAAUUGCAUUUGAUACUGUUUGGCUUGAGUUCAGGAGAGGUGAGUGGAAUUCCCAGUGUAGAGGUGAAAUUCGUAGAUAUUGGGAAGAACACCAGUGGCGAAGGCGGCUCACUGGACCGACACUGACGCUGAGGCGCGAAAGCGUGGGGAGCAAACAGGAUUAGAUACCCCCGUAGUCCCUGUCUCUUAUAC